AAACCUUCAGAAAUACCCAAUCAUCUUCUUUGAACUCUAAAUCUCUGAGCACUAGAAGAAUCUCCUCAUUCUUCUUUCCUAAAAUUCCAUAAGCAAAAUCUUGUACUGCAAUGUUGGAAAUCCUUCAAUACUUAGGUCAGCAGCCUAUUACUUUCUUUAGGGAGGUCGUUGCAUUAUGUGACCAUCCAGUUAUUUUGGGCAAAAGUGAAAUUUGCAAUAUGUGACCUUCUUGUUAUUUUGGACAAAAGUGAAACACAAGGUCUGUUCAGUGCGGAUUCAAUAGAACGAGCUUUCCAGAUCCUCAGCCAAAUUCCUGGCAAUGUGACAGGUGCAUACAACCACAGUCAGGUGACAAUAUCUUCUAUUAUAAUGUCCUAGAUUUGCAGCCAGUAUACUCCUAGAACUUAUUUUUGUGUUUGCUAAACUCCGGGGUGUCAAAGGAUUACAUGAUACAAUUGCUUCUGGUAUCGAAGCUCGUGAUGGCUUCCCUACUGACCCAAAUGAUAUUUUCUUGACUGAUGGUGCAAGCCCAGCGGUAAUUAUGUUGAUCUCAAAAAGUUAUUCGUGCAUCAUUGAGAGAAGUAACUAAAAGAAUAACAAGGUGUCGAUAAUGUUGGUUCUUCAUCCUCUAUUCAGGUUCACAUGAUGAUGCAGUUGCUCAUUGGGUCAGAGAAUGAUGGAAUUCUCUGACCCAUCCCCCAUCCACUUUAUUCUGCUUCAAUUGUCCUCUAUGGUGGCACUCUCGUAUGUGCAUUUGCUUCAAUUUAAAGUUGAUCAGUUCUAGUUGUAUAGUUGGCCUUAAUAGGCUAGAUUAACCUACUUCUGAAAGAGAUUAUUGUAAACGUUUAUUAAUGAGAGCUGACCUGAUUGGCUUACUAUUCAGUUGAAGGUGACACAUGAGCCUCUUAUGUAUGCUUUUAUCUGGUAUUUUAGGUUCGCUAUUAUCUUGAUGAAGAAACGGGAUGGGGACUGGAGAUCUCAUAGCUUGAGAAUCAACUGAAAACUGCAAAAUCCAAUGGUAUUAAAGUUAGGGCUUUGGUUGUGAUCAAUUUAGGCAACCCAGCAGGGCAGGUGUAUCAGGAAAAUGUUUAUGUGCUUAAGAAGCAGUUCCACUCGUUUAAGAAAAUUCCUCGCUCUAUGGGAUUUGGAGAAAAGGACAUCUCUUUAGUUUCUUUUCAGUAUGUGUCAAAAGGUAGAUCGUACUAGCUCCAUCCAUCCCUCUCUUGUUGGCGGUCUUUCUCUUUCUUGAAAGCCUCGUCAUGAGCUCUCCAAAGGUUGGUAAUGCUGUUUGUGUAAUACAUGGCAUUGCAUGUAAAAUUGAUAUUGAGACGACCACAUAUAGCUUCGGGAUUGAGGUGCAUCUUAAUAGGAGUGUGGUUGCCAGUCAAAUAUUUUGGUAGUGGUGGUUAUAGAAUCUAUAACAAGCACGAGUACCUCAAUGGUUUAAUUUAUGUAGGUGUAUCAUACUUUUUAAUGUGGUGAGCUAAACAUUAGAUGUCAUUACAGUGAUAUGCACUCUACUCUGACUAUUAACUUAGAAGCUUGCUGCGGGUUCCUUAUAUCUGUGUUAUCUGGAUGAUGAAUCAUAUCAGUCUUUUAUUGCUGAGAAAGAAGCGAUACUCUCAUCCUUCGCAAGGCGUGCAAAGGUCAGUAGCAUCAGCAUAUACAACUAGCGGUGACUAGAUAAUAAACUAGUUUGUUUUAGUGAAGUAGUGGAAGUUGUUUUUUUUUUAUCAUGAACCUUGCAUCUGAAAAGAAGAGCUGGUUAAAGUAGGAAGCAGAAAUGAUGUCUGAAAUUUUCUCAAAUAAAAGUUGUCCCAAAAUAAUUUCCUCUAGAGUUUCAUUUCAGCUUAUCAAAAAUGGUAUAUCUAAAUGUUUGCUUCCUUUUGGUGUUUUCUAUCUGUCAAAUUGAUACAUUUUCUAUUUUCUUCUGUGUUUGGCAAUUUCUUUUUUGACUAAUUUGUCAACAGACACUAGAAGAUGCAUUCAACAGUUUGGAGGGAGUAACAUGCAAUAAAGCAUAGGGCGCAAUGUAUCUAUUUCUAUGUAUUAACUUACUUGCUAAAGCAAUAAAAGCAGCAGAAGAAGCUAAAACUGCACCAGAUGCCUUUUAUGCUCGACGCCUCCUCAAUGCCACCGGAAUUGUUGUUGUCCCAGGCUCUGCAUUUGGCCAGGUAUUGGAAGGCAGAGCUGCUAAAGAGAAUAAAGAAAAUGCAAAUGAGGAACUUAAGGCUUACAAACCUACAGAAGUUUCUAUGGGUUUGAACAAGAAAAGCUCACACGCUGAUUAGAUUAAUGGUGAGGUCAAGCUUUACAGAAAUGAAUCGGUUACAAAAUCAGGAGAUGACGUGGAAGGUGUUAAACUAGUCAUGUAUUAGAAAAUAAACUUGUAGCUAAGGGUAUAUCAAAUGAGGUUUGUAAUAGAUGCUAACUUAAAUUGAUUAAUAUGUGUAAAGUGUUAUCAUGA